UACAGAGGUCCCAAGCGUUGUUCGGAAUUACUGGGCGUAAAGGGUGCGUAGGCGGCUUUCUAAGUUGGAUGUGAAAACUAUGGGCUCAACCCAUAGCCUGCAUCCAAAACUGGAGAGCUUGGGUUCUGGAGGGGAAAGCGGAAUUCCUGGUGUAGCGGUGAAAUGCGUAGAUAUCAGGAGGAACACCGGUGGCGAAGGCGGCUUUCUGGACAGAUACCGACGCUGAGGCACGAAAGCUAGGGGAGCAAACAGG
rnacentral:rRNA from 1 species